UUUGAUACAUGUGACAGGGGCGAAGACCGGCAAAAAAUGGAAAAAGGUUGAAGAAGGAAAUGAAAUCAGAUUUAGGGUUUGGCUAUGAAAGAGUGUGUGUUAAAGUACUAUAAGCUUUUGUUGCAUUGUGGAAAAAACAAAAAAACAAAAAAACAAAAAAACAAAAAAACAAGAAAAAUAAAUAAAUUAUGGUAUAUUGAAAGUCAUUAAACGAAAUAGGAGAGAUAAAU
rnacentral:lncRNA from 1 species